UCGAAGGUAGCAUAAUCAGUAGUUUUUUAAUUGAAAACUUGUAUGAAUGGUUUAAUGAGAUAUUUUCUGUUUCAUAAAAAUAUUAAUAGAAAUUAAUUUUUUAGUUAAAAAGCUAAAAUAGAUUUAAAAGACGAGAAGACCCUAUAGAGUUUUAUAUAAUUUAUUUUAUAAUUUAUUUAUAAAAUUUUAAGGUUUAAAAUAAUUUUUAUUUUGUUGGGGUGACAGUAAAAUUUUAUUAUCUUUUAUUAUAUAAUAACAAUGAUUAUUGAUUAAUUGAUCCAUUUUUAAUGAUUAAAAGAUUAAAUUACCUUAGGGAUAACAGCGUAAUUUUUUUAGAGAGUUCAUAUCGAUAAAAAUUUUUGCGACCUCGAUGUUGGAUUAA
rnacentral:rRNA from 1 species